rnacentral:rRNA from 1 species
GGCGUGCCUUAACACAUGCAAGUUCGAGCGAAAGUGUUUAGGAACGGAUUCUUUUGGGAUGAAGACCUAAACAUCUUAGCGGCGGAUGGGUGAGUAACGCGUGAGAAACCUGCCUUUCACAAGGGAAUAGCCUCGGGAAACUGGGAUUAAUACCCUAUGAUACAACUUUUUCGCAUGAGAGAGUUGUUAAAGCGUAAAGCGGUGAAAGAUGGUCUCGCGUCCCAUUAGUUAGUUGGUGAGGUAAUGGCUCACCAAGACAACGAUGGGUAACCGGCCUGAGAGGGUGAACGGUCACACUGGAACUGAGACACGGUCCAGACUCCUACGGGAGGCAGCAGUGGGGAAUAUUGCACAAUGGAGGAAACUCUGAUGCAGCGACGUCGCGUGAACGAUGAAGGUUUUCGGAUCGUAAAGUUCUGUCCUUGGGGACGAUAAUGACGGUACCCAAGGAGGAAGCCCCGGCUAACUACGUGCCAGCAGCCGCGGUAAUACGUAGGGGGCAAGCGUUGUCCGGAUUUAUUGGGCGUAAAGGGUUCGCAGGUGGCCUUUUAAGUCAGAUGUGAAAGAUCAAGGCUUAACCUUGGUAAGCAUUUGAAACUGAAAGGCUUGAGUUAAGGAGAGGAAAGUGGAAUUCCUAGUGUAGCGGUGAAAUGCGUAGAUAUUAGGAGGAAUACCAGUGGCGGAGGCGACUUUCUGGACUUAUACUGACACUGAGGAACGAAAGCACGGGUAGCAAACAGGAUUAGAUACCCUGGUAGUCCGUGCCGUAAACGAUGAGUGCUAGGUGUCGGGGGUCAAACCUCGGUGCCGGAGCUAACGC